AUUGAACGCUGGCGGCAGGCUUAACACAUGCAAGUCGAGCGGGGAAGGGUAGCUUGCUACCUGACCUAGCGGCGGACGGGUGAGUAAUGCUUAGGAAUCUGCCUAUUAGUGGGGGACAACAUUCCGAAAGGAAUGCUAAUACCGCAUACGCCCUACGGGGGAAAGCAGGGGAUCUUCGGACCUUGCGCGAAUAGAUGAGCCUAAGUCAGAUUAGCUAGUUGGUGGGGUAAAGGCCUACCAAGGCGACGAUCUGUAGCGGGUCUGAGAGGGUGAUCCGCCACACUGGGACUGAGACACGGCCCAGACUCCUACGGGAGGCAGCAGUGGGGAAUAUUGGACAAUGGGCGAAAGCCUGAUCCAGCCAUGCCGCGUGUGUGAAGAAGGCCUUUUGGUUGUAAAGCACUUUAAGCGAGGAGGAGGCUACCGAGAUUAAUACUCUUGGAUAGUGGACGUUACUCGCAGAAUAAGCACCGGCUAACUCUGUGCCAGCAGCCGCAGUAAAAC
rnacentral:rRNA from 1 species